rnacentral:tRNA from 1 species
GGAGAGUUGCCUGAGUGGUUAAAGGAGCGGUUUGCUAAACCGUGAACGUGUGAGCGUUCCGUGGGUUCGAAUCCCACACUCUCCG